GGGGAUUUAGUCUAGUGGUAAGAUGUACCUUUAGGGAGUGUAAGGUCUGAGUUCAAUUCACGAAAUCCGCA
rnacentral:tRNA from 1 species